CGACGUGCCAGCCGCCGCGGUAAUACGUAGGGUGCGAGCGUUAAUCGGAAUUACUGGGCGUAAAGCGUGCGCAGGCGGUUUUGUAAGACAGGCGUGAAAUCCCCGGGCUUAACCUGGGAAUUGCGCUUGUGACUGCAAGGCUAGAGUGCGUCAGAGGGGGUAGAAUUCCACGUGUAGCAGUGAAAUGCGUAGAGAUGUGGAGGAAUACCGAUGGCGAAGGCAGCCCCCUGGGACGUGACUGACGCUCAUGCACGAAAGCGUGGGGAGCAAACAGGAUUAGAUACCCUGGUAGUCCACGCCCUAAACGAUGUCAACUAGUUGUUGGGGAUUCAUUUUCUCAGUAACGUAGCUAACGCGUGAAGUUGACCGCCUGGGGAGUACGGUCGCAAGAUUA
rnacentral:rRNA from 1 species